UACGUGAGGUGCGAGCGUUGUCCGGAAUUAUUGGGCGUAAAGAGCUCGUAGGCGGUCUGUCGCGUCGAUCGUGAAAACUUGGGGCUUAACCCUGAGCUUGCGGUCGAUACGGGCAUGACUGGAGUUCGGCAGGGGAGACUGGAAUUCCUGGUGUAGCGGUGAAAUGCGCAGAUAUCAGGAGGAACACCGGUGGCGAAGGCGGGUCUCUGGGCCGAUACUGACGCUGAGGAGCGAAAGCGUGGGGAGCGAACAGG
rnacentral:rRNA from 1 species